rnacentral:lncRNA from 1 species
CAGGCAACAAGCAUUUACUAAGAACCUACUAUGUGCCAGGCACUCUGCUAGAUAAUGGAGGGCACAGAGGGAGAUUUUAAUGUUUCAAAUCCCCUAAAUUGAAAGAUUAGACUGGAUAAAGGGGGUGGGGGUGGAGGGGAAGAAGGUUUAAGACUUAGGGACAUUAAGACAUUAGGAAAUGGUCCUACUAUGUUCUGGAAUACCCAGUUCAGGUCUGGAUGCCACAUUGGAGAGAGGAAGCCCAUUGGUAAUCAAAUCAACACUAUCAUUCUGGAAAAGGACCAGUCAAUUACACUAUGACUCAAUCACCAUCCCUGCUGUUCCCUGGACAACAAACACCUCUUUCGGGUCUACUACUCUAUCCACUGUGCCACCCAGCUGCCUCUACUACAAACAGAAACUAUAGUGUAGGACCAAGGAUCAUCCUUGGGAAACCUAGAAAUUCCCCAGAAACAAAGAAAGCAAGGACGCACCAACCCAUGUCUCAAAUGUCUAAACCAAAAUGCACAAGAGAUCAGUACAAGUGAGGCCACUGGAGCUCUGAGAGCAAGGAGGCCAAUUCGAGCUGAUGGGUAUCGCUGAGACGGUGGGAAGGGACCAUGGCUAGAAGAUGGAACUCAAAAGGAAGAGGCUAGAUUUUGGGAGACCAGGUUUCAAAGGGCUUAGAGAAAGGCUACGUAGGAUUCCAUGGACUAAAAUCCUGUCGGGUAAUUCAGUCCAGAAGUAUAGGAGGCUCUCCAGAAUGAAAUUCUGAAUGCACCAAGAGAAGGAAUUCAGAAGUAAGUGGAGUGUAUAAAGACACUGAUGAGGACAUAUCGGGAACUCUUCAGCUGACUUUAAGUUUGUGUAAGAGGAGUGCCUAGGAUGGAAGUCAAGGCAAAUAACAGAGGGAGAAUUCAAAAGUGUGUCAUGGCUUUGUAAGAAGACGUUCAAAUGUGCUAAGGCUCAGACUGAGCAAAAGCUAUUGAGAAAAAUGAAGUACAACAAGAACAGCUUUAAAAGAAAGUUAUAUUGGUGAGAAGAAGCAAAUGUUGCUUGGGUUGGAUGCUAACCGAUGAGGGAUAGAGCAAGUCAAAACUUAUUUUAAUUGUGCCUCUAUCAAGCAGAAGGCCUUUUGGACUGAUAAGGAGAGAAUACAAAUGAUUAAUAAAGGGCUAAUCUCUAAAAAAAAAUAAACA